GAGAGAAUUCUGGGCCGUCAACGUUGCGCUAGCAUCACGCGACCGGCAGCAUCAUGAUUUUCCGAGCUCGCACAAGAAGCUAGGAUCCUCAAUCAGCUGACGUUCUUUGUUUCAAAUCCAAAGACACGUCAGAGCUGCGGUCUCAGUAAGGUGGCCACUACCUACUCUAGUUGGACGUCACUACGAGUCAAUAAUUCAGCAGAGGCGGAAUAGCGUGCUCUGCGCCAGCCGAGGCCUGCACUCAAGCAUCCUCGACGUCCUUAUCAGCUGAGAAAACGAAGAAGCCCUUGUCAUGUUCGAUCGUCUACUGCUAGUGCUAGCCUUGUUUUGUCUCCUGGGCAACGAGGAUGGACUUGAAAUCGACAGAGCAGACGGAGGAUACGUUAAUCUCCUCGUCUCCAUCCACCCGGACACACCACCAAAUGAAGUGAUUGUCGACAACCU